GAUGAAGAACGUAGCGAAAUGCGGUAAGUAAUGUGAAUUGCAGAAUUCAGUGAAUCAUCGAAUCUUUGAACGCACAUUGCGCCCGUCAGUAUUCUGGCGGGCAUGCCUGUUCGAGCGUCAUUACGCCCCUCAAGUCCCCUGUGGACUUGGUGUUGGGGAUCGGCGAGGCUGGUUUUCCAGCACAGCCGUCCCUUAAAUUAAUUGGCGGUCUCGCCGUGGCCCUCCUCUGCGCAGUAGUAAAACACUCGCAACAGGAGCCCGGCGCGGUCCACUGCCGUAAAACCCCCCAACUUUUUAUAGUUGACCUCGAAUCAGGUAGGACUACCCGCUGAACUUAAGCAUAUCAAUAAGCGGAGGA
rnacentral:misc_RNA from 1 species